UGAGUAGACAAUCAACUGACCGUAGCGGGCGCUAAAUUGUUUUCGACCAGUUUGUUGUCUAUUCGAG
rnacentral:pre_miRNA from 1 species